rnacentral:lncRNA from 1 species
CGAAAUGCUUGCCUGCCGUUGUCCUUCCUCUCCCUCCCUUGCUAGAUUGGAAUCACGAAAUUCACGAUCCUCGACACAAUUUGAUCGAUUCAUGGAUAAACUGAUAAAGGAUGCGAGGAGGCGGUUAAGAAGCUCAAGCCGCUAGGAGCUCAUGAUGGAAGAGAAACUGCAGGUGUGGCCUUGUAUUUAGGACUCGAUGGAUCGGAUGAACAACGUUGUUACUCUCCUCUUU